rnacentral:rRNA from 1 species
UACGAAGGGGCUAGCGUUGUUCGGAGUUACUGGGCGUAAAGGGCGCGUAGGCGGCGCACCAAGUCAGGCGUGAAAGCCCUGGGCUCAACCCGGGAAUUGCGCUUGAGACUGGUGUGCUUGAGUCCGGAAGAGGAGAAUGGAAUUCCUGGUGUGAGCGGUGAAAUGCGCAGAUAUCAGGAGGAACACCGAUGGCGAAGGCAGGUCUCUGGGCCGAUACUGACGCUGAGGAGCGAAAGCGUGGGGAGCGAACAGG